rnacentral:rRNA from 1 species
UGGGGAAUAUUGCGCAAUGGGGGGAACCCUGACGCAGCCAUGCCGCGUGAAUGAAGAAGGCCUUCGGGUUGUAAAGUUCUUUCGGUAUUGAGGAAGGUUGAUGUGUUAAUAGCACAUCAAAUUGACGUUAAAUACAGAAGAAGCACCGGCUAACUCCGUGCCAGCAGCCGCGGUAAUACGGAGGGUGCGAGCGUUAAUCGGAAUAACUGGGCGUAAAGGGCACGCAGGCGGUUAUUUAAUUGAGGUGUGAAAGCCCCGGGCUUAACCUGGGAAUUGCAUUUCAGACUGGGUAACCAGAGUACUUUAGGGAGGGGUAGAAUUCCACGUGUAGCGGUGAAAUGCGUAGAGAUGUGGAGGAAUACCGAAGGCGAAGGCAGCCCCUUGGGAAUGUACUGACGUUCAUGUGCGAAAGCGUGGGGAGCAAACAGGAUUAGAUACCCUGGUAGUCCACGCUGUAAACGCUGUCGAUUUGGGGGUUGGGGUUUAACUCCGGCGCCCGUAGCUAACGCGAUAAAUCGACCGCCUGGGGAGCACGGCCGCAAGGUUA